AUGCAAAUAGAUUCACCAGAACCAGACAAGCAUUCAGAUGACUUUAGCACUGGUCAUUGUGUGAAGACAACAUGAGUAACCUGGAGUCCAAACUGCCAGCCAAGCAGAUUUAGAGUUUGUGACCCACAGAAACUGUGAGAGAUAAAAACCUCAGAGUCUGCUUUCCAGGUAACUCAAUGUACAACAGUUGAUGCCAGGAGGAAUUUGACGAAGUAACUCCUAAGAUGGGAUUUUGAGCUUGGUAACCCACUAACUGGCUGAUCAUUAUGAUCACAUCUCAAGUUAUAGAUGGAGAACAGAAUAUCCCUGAAAAAAAGAUGCAGAAACUUGAACUGGAAGAAUAGGAAAAUGGCCAUUGUCUUGCUGGAAUCUAGAGAACUGUUUAAGUAACAUACUU
rnacentral:lncRNA from 1 species